rnacentral:rRNA from 1 species
UACGGAGGGUGCGAGCGUUGUCCGGAAUCACUGGGCGUAAAGGGCGCGUAGGUGGCGCGGGAAGUCAACGGUGAAAGUUCGGGGCUCAACCCUGAAUCGGCCGUCGAUACUCCCGGGCUCGAGCACUGUAGAGGCAGAUGGAAUUCCGGGUGUAGCGGUGGAAUGCGUAGAGAUCCGGAAGAACACCGGUGGCGAAGGCGGUCUGCUGGGCAGUUGCUGACACUGAGGCGCGACAGCGUGGGGAGCAAACAGG